UCCUACGGCGACAUUAACCCGAGCUCUCGACCGUUCGAACCUUCUCGUACUAUCCUUGUCUCUCUCUCUCACUCUCUCUCUCUCUUUCUCUCUCUCUCACUCUCUCUCUCUCUCUAUCUCUAUCUCUCUCUGUCUUUCUUACUGUUCCUCUGUUUCUCUGUCUCUUUCUUUCUCGUUCAUUCGUUCGUUCGUUCGUUCUUCUUGAACAUCACGUGACACGCCAAAAUGACGACGACGGUGCCUUAGUGGAAUUUUUACGAGACGUAAGGAUUCGCGUAUCCUGUGCUCGAUUGCCCGCGACCCAUCAAUUGCAUCGGUCGUUUACGUUCCUACCAUCCAACCGAUUGGUUCUUUGUAACACGGAAAGGAUCCACCGAUCACGAUGGAUUACUUCCGAGAAAGCCAAUGUCGACGAAUCGUGGCCGACGAAGACGACGACGACGACGACGACGACGACGACGACGACGACAACGACACGAAGGAAGAAGAGUAAGGAGGAGAAGGAGAAGGAGGACGAAGAAGGGGAGAAAGAAGAAGAAGAUGACCAAAGGAGGAUACGAAGGAUGAUCACCACGAAAGGAUCACUCGUCCGUGGCAACGACGUUACGAAGAUAUCUUGCGAAUGUUAUAUUAUAAAGACUAUUACCUACGAUCCUUAGGGGCCUCUUCCUACAUACAUACAUACAUACAUACAUACGUACAUAGAUACAUAGAUAUUCUAUCUUACUUUUAUACACGGACAGGAACACACUGUACAUUCUACCCUCACCGAGAAUCGAUUUAACCGUGUAAUUGUAGCAAUCUCGUCGACAACGAACGAUGUCCAAGCCACUCGAAAAUAUUUUCCAUCUCUCCUUCUCUCUUAAUCUUUAUAUCUCCGUCUCUGUCUCUAUCUCUAUUUAUCCUUUUUAUCUUUCCUAGCCUUUUAACUCCUGUCUACUUUUCUCUUAUACUCUGUACUCUUCCGAGUAGAUCAGAGCAGAACAGAGCAGAACAGAGCAGAGCAAAUGUCUUCCUUCUCCCUGUUUCCGCGUAAUUCGCAGAAUCCUAUCCUCCCAACCCCGCCGACGUUACAAUUUCAACGUAGCGUAUGAUGCGGUUUGAAUACAUGACGGAAAGAAGAUACCCUCAGAGCUACUGUUGUCCGUCGUUUUUCUAUUCUACUUACAGAUAAUAAGAAACGAUUAAGACUCUUUGAUUUUGUUGAAAAUUAUCAAUCGCAUGUUGUGGUCUCUUCUUGCUGGUUGUUUUCUCUCGUUGUUAAGAAAAAAAAAAAAGAAAAAAACGAAAAAAAUUAAAAGAAA